GGGUACUUGUCGGAGUGCCCAGCUGUUUACAGCGGGCUGAGACCGUGAAAACGGGAUCCGUUGAACCUGAUCAGGCUAAUACCUGCGAAGGGAAACAAGGGGAAAUACAGC
rfam:Arsukibacterium sp. MJ3 EFN4V4Q1, whole genome shotgun sequence.